rnacentral:rRNA from 1 species
UACGUAGGAUGCAAGCGUUGUUCGGAAUUACUGGGCGUAAAGAGUACGUAGGCGGUCUGGCAAGUCUGAUAUUAAAGACUGGAGCUUAACUUCAGGACUGUAUCGGAAACUGCCAAACUAGAGGACUAUAGAGGAAGUCGGAAUUCUCAGUGUAGCGGUGAAAUGCGUAGAUAUUGGGAAGAACACCAGUGGCGAAAGCGGACUUCUGGGUAGUUACUGACGCUGAGGUACGAAAGCGUGGGGAGCAAACGGGAUUAGAUACCCCGGUAGUCCACGCUGUAAACGAUGGAUACUAGGUGUAGCCGGUCUCGACCCCGGCUGUGCCGUAGCUAACGCAAUAAGUAUCCCGCCUGGGGAGUAUGGCCGCAAGGUUGAA